AAGCGGAGGAAAAGAAACCAACAGGGAUUGCCCCAGUAACGGCGAGUGAAGCGGCAGGAGCUCAAAUUUGAAAUCUGGGGUCCCCGACCUCCGAGUUGUAAUUUGGAGAGGCAUCUUCGGGGGGGAGCGCCGGCCCAUGUUCCUUGGAACAGGACGUCGCAGAGGGUGAGAAUCCCGUGCCAGGCCGGCUGCCUCCUCCCGGGUGAAGGGCCUUCGACGAGUCGAGUUGUUUGGGAAUGCAGCUCCAAGUGGGUGGUAAAUUUCAUCUAAAGCUAAAUACCGGCGGGAGACCGAUAGCGCACAAGUAGAGUGAUCGAAAGAUGAAAAGCACUUUGAAAAUAGAGUCAAAAAGUACGUGAAAUUGUUGAAAGGGAAGCGCUUGAGACCAGACUCAGGCCCGGGCAAACAUCGAGCCCCCCGGGGCCGUGCAAUUGCCUGGGGCUGGGCCAGCAUCAGUUGGCGUGGCGGGACAAAGGCGCGGGGAAUGUGGCUCCCCUCGGGGAGUGUUAUCAGGCCCGCGCUCAAUGCCGCCGACGCCGACUGAGGACCGCGCCUCGGCUAGGAUGCUGGCUUAAUGGCCUUCAGCGACCCGUCUUGAAACACGGACCAAGGAGUCUAACAUCUAUGCGAGUGUUUGGGCGCCAAACCCUUGCGCGGAAUGAAAGUGAGCGGAGGUGGGAACCCCCCAGCGGGGCGCACCAUCGACCGAUCCUGAUGUCUUCG
rnacentral:rRNA from 1 species